rnacentral:rRNA from 1 species
GAUUAACGCUGGCGGCGUGCAUAACACAUGCAAGUCGAACGAUGAAACUCAUUAGAUUUCUUCGGCAUGAAAAUGAAAGGAUUAGUGAAGACCGGGUGAGUCACCCCUGAGUUAUCUGACUUACACAAGGGGCUAGCCCCUAGACACGGAAAAUAAUCCCCCAUGAAACCAGACAAUCGCAUGAUAAUCUGGUCAGGAUGUUUAGUGGUGUAAGAUGGCUUUGCGUCUGAUUAGCUAGUUGGUGAGACAAAAGCUCACCAAGGCAACGAGCAGUAGCCGGCUUGUGAGAGUGUACGGCCACACUGAGACAGGGACACGACCCAUACGCCUGCGAGAGGCAGGAGUGGUGAAUUUAGGACAGUGGGGGAAACCCAGAAGCGGCGACGCCGCGUGAUUUGGAAUGCCUUCGGGUUGUAAAAAUCUUUUGGAUAGGAAGAAAAUGACAGUACUAGACGAAGAAGGACCGGCUAACUACGCG